rnacentral:tRNA from 1 species
GCGCUCUUAGCUCAGUGGAUAGAGCAAUAGCCUUCUAAGCUAUUGGUCACAGGUUCGAAUCCUGUAGAGCGCA